rnacentral:rRNA from 1 species
GACGGAGGGUGCAAGCGUUGUUCGGAAUUACUGGGCGUAAAGCGCGGGCAGGUGGCCUUUUAAGUCCUUUGUGAAAUUCCGGAGCUCAACUCCGGAUGUGCAUAGGAUACUGGAAGGCUAGAGACUGGUAGAGGCGAGCGGAAUUCCUGGUGUAGCGGUGGAAUGCGUAGAUAUCUGGAGGAACACCGGUGGCGAAGGCGGCAUCCUGGACCGGUAUUGACGCUGAGGCGCGAAAGCCAGGGGAGCAAACGGG